AGAAUGGUGAGUAACGAGGAUGAAAGGGAUUUGCAUGGGGGGUUUCAGAGCAGUUUGAGGAAGGCCUUCAGUGGUUUCAGAAUAAUUCAAAGAGAGUUAAAGGAGUUCGAUGUGGAAGGGCUGGUGGUGGUUGUUUUGGGAGAUCAAUGAGGCCUUCAGGACGGGUUCAAUACGAAGGACGCUAUUUUGAAUUUGUUCUAAAGUUCACUAGUUACACUUGAAAAUCCGAUGGCAUACAUUUAAAGGAGUUUUAAGCUAAAGGAGCUUUAGGCUAUAUUUUAUAAUCCUUGGUAGUCUCUAAUGUGGUCUGAGCCUAUUUUCUUGCUAGUCGUUCAUCAGGUUACCAAUUAAAUGUGUCGCAUCCAUGGGUAUGAUUCACCCUUAUUUUGACCACGAGACACCCGGAACCGAUUCAAGAAUACUAAUGGUAGUGUUGAAUGUGUUCUGGUGGGACAGCCGGAGCCGAAUGCAUGACACAAACGGUUGUCUCGAAUAUGGACUAAGACAAUUUCCUGUUUAAUUGAUCAUCAGAUUAUCUAAGAAGUCGCGAAUGGAUGUGUAGCAUGUAUGGGUGUUGACUUUUGACCAAUUCCGGUGAGACACCCGGAACCAGUUCCAUAUCACUACCGGUAGUUUCUAAUGUGAUCCGAGGCUAUUUUCUUGCUAAUUUCCUUGACUUCCUUGAGCUUGGAGCUUGGAGUAUCUUCGUACUUGCCACACGAUAUACACAUGAAAAGUUGUCAUUUGCAGAGGAAGUUCACAGUCAAUAACUGUUGGGAGUGCUAAUUGAACACUAGCUGAGAAGCUGGCUUUGCUCUAGUAAAGAAGUUACGCCAAGAAGAAGACGAAAAAAAAGAACCUGCAAGCGCUUUUGAUUAUAAGAUUAUCAAAGUAGCCGCUAUUCUAUGUGUGGUUUGGUUCCCUUCUACAGUUUACCGCUUCCACCCACCGAGACAACCGGAACCGGUUCCGGAACACUACUGGUAGUCUCCAAUGUGUUCUAAGCCUAUUUUAUUGAUACAGUCCCGAUUCGUUCGUUGGCGGCUCGUUAGAUGGGCUGUCUCGAUGGUUGGAUGUUCGCUGGUUGGGGCAAAACCCAACUAAAAAGCACUGUCAAUGUCAAAAUCGAUGUCAAAACGAGUUUGACGUCUGACCGUCGUCGCAUCGCAGCUCCUGUAUACAGACCGUUUGCGCAAGUAUGUGAGUGUUUCGUGACGUAUUUCUCGUCACUUGCGUGUGUCUAGAGCAUUUUGAUUAGUUGUCAGUUGCCCCAACGAACGAACACGAUUCGCUAAUCGGAGCGCAGUCGUGAUCCAACGAGUGAAUCCUUACUGUAACUGGUCAUCACGUUAUCAAAAUGCUUUGAUUCGGUGUGUCACAUUUAUGGGUUUGGUUUAGUGUUAUUUUUGACUACCUACGAUGGGACAUCCGGAACCGUUUCCGGGACACAAUCGGUUGUCCCAAAUAUGGUCUUGCACUAUUCAUAUGCAUACUGUUCGUCACGCGUCCUAAAAAGCUGGUAUCUGAGGUGUCGCAUGCAUGGGUUCGGUCCAAUUUUGUAUUUGACCACUUCCGCCGGGACACCCGGAACUGAUUCCAGGAUACUACUUGUUGCCGCUGGCAGCCCUGCCUCAAACGAGCUGUCGGCGAACCCCUCUCAGCUAAACCGCGAAGCUGAUCUGCCAAUCGCGAAUAUGACAGAACGAGAACGUGGGACAAUGACUAAUCCGAUUUUGACGAGAUCAAUGGUGAACAGUGGCAAAUCGUGCAACCAAUAAUUGAAAUCGAAUCCCAGCUCUCAUUUGUGAAACUUUUCUCUUGUUUUCGAACAUUUAUUACUGCAUCUCAUUCACUAAUUUUUCCUGAAGGGGUUAAAACUUAAGGUCUAAAGUUGAUCUCUAAAACAACAUUUCUUCCUAAAAUUUACAUCACGAUUUAUAGUUGGAGUCAGGCUAGCUGAAUCGGGUCGAGCAGUGGUUAUUUAAUCGCGCACAAACACUGAAUGUGUAAGUAGGCAUGCAUAUGUAACCUCAAACAUGUUAUAACUACAUCAUAAACUCAAUACAUUUCAGUUUAAAACUGUACUGCACCAACAGUCGUGUUUUUUGUGCUGCUAAGAACGCAGUGUCUCGUGCCUAUCUCUGCUCCCCGUCAACUUGUUUUCCCAAGUAUGUUUUGAGAUUUUUUUUUUCUUGUUAACUGUUCAUCAGGAUACCUAAAAGCCAUUUGAUGUGUCACGAAUACUAGUUUAGUUCACUGUAAAAGUAAAGACCACUUUCAGCGAGACACCCGGAACCAGUUCCAGAACACAACCCGUUGUCCCAAAUAUGGUCUGCAACGAUUUAUUGCCAACUGUUAUCGGGUUAUCUAAACAGCCGCAAAUUCACGUGUCGCAUGCAUGGUUUUGGUUCACUAUUUUAUUUGGACACUUCCGGCGGGACAUCCGGAACCGGUUCCGGAACACUACUGGUUCAAAUAUAGUAUGAUACUAUUUUCUUGCUAAUUUCAUAAGCCUAUCAAAACAGCAGCGCUGUGAUGCAUGGCUUUUGGUUCAAUUUUACAUUCCGCCUCUUUCAGAGGGACAGCCGAAGCAGGCUCCGGCACUGCCGGCAGUCCCUAAUGUGGUCUUAGCCUACUUCCUUGAUAACUGGUCAUUAGGUUAUUCGAAAGGCCGUGAAUUGAUGUGUCGCAUGCAUAGGUUUGGUUCACUUUCAUAUUUGGCCACAUCCAGCGGGACAUCCGGAACCGGUUCUGGAACAUUACUGGUUCAGAUAUAUGGUCUUGAGGGAAAUUUGUGCAUAAAUUAAGUUUAAGCUUCAAUGAGGAAAUCUAGUUCGUGAGAACAGAUCCUGCUCCUGGGAAUUUGAGGCGCGGCUAAAGGGGUUUCCAUAAAGUUUCCGGAGAGCCCAGAAAAGGGAGUUUCAAGGGGCUUCAGGGGCGCUUCAGGGGGUUGUUUCAGGGGAUUUAGGGUGCCUUUUAAGGGCGCUUUGACAGGUUUUGAUGGCGUUGACAUGGGAUUACGGGAAAUUCAGGGCCAUUUGGGGUUUCAGGGACGUUUCAAGGUGCUUUAAGGGCAAUUCAGGGGAUCUCAGGAGCCUUUAAAAGGCGUUACAAGGGGUUUGAGGGGCGUUUCACGACAUUUCAGAGUAAUUUCAGAGAAUUUCUGGAGGUUUCAGGAGAAUUUUAAGGGCGUUCCUAGAGAUUUUAGGGGAGUAUGAUAGCAUUUCAGGGGCCUUUAGGGGUAUUUCCGGUCAGAGUCGUAUAAGGGAGUUUAAAGAACAUCUUUAAAUAAAAUAGCGUUUCAGGGACAUUUCAAAGGACUUUGGGAUGGGGUCCCUGAAAAUCCUCUGCAACUUCCUAUAACACCUCAAAGACCUCCUAAAACCCUCUCAAACCACCUGUAACGCACCUGAGAUGAUCAGAAACUCCCUUAAAUUCUUCCGUAAUGCCUCUGAAUUCCGCCGAAAACGAUCUGAAACAUCCUGAAAUGCCUCCAAAACCCCCUUAUACCACCACGGACCCCAUGUAACGCACCUGACACGCUCCGAAACCGCCGAAAACUCCUCCGUAACGCUUUCGUAACGCCUCUGUAUCCCGCCAGAAAUCCUCUGAAAUAUCCUGAAAUGCCUCCAAAAUCUCCCUUAAACAACCACCAUGUAACGCAUCUGAGACGCUCCGAAAUCCCCGAAAACUCCUCCGUAACGUUUUAGAACGCCUCUGAAUCCCACCGGAAAUCCUCUGAAACAUCUUGAAAUGCCUCCAAAAUCCCCCUUAG